GUAGGGAAUAUUGGGCAAUGGACGAAAGUCUGACCCAGCAACGCCGCGUGUGCGACGAAGGUCUUCGGAUCGUAAAGCACUUUUCUGGGAGAUGAGAAAGGACAGUAUCCCAGGAAUAAGUCUCGGCUAACUACGUGCCAGCAGCCGCGGUAAAACGUAGGAGACGAGCGUUAUCCGGAUUUACUGGGCGUAAAGCGCGUGCAGGCGGCUUGGCAAGUUGGAUGUGAAAUCUCCCGGCUCAACUGGGAGGGGUCGUUCAAAACUACCGAGCUAGAGGAUGGUAGAGGAAGGUGGAAUUCCCGGUGUAGUGGUGAAAUGCGUAGAUAUCGGGAGGAACACCAGUGGCGAAAGCGGCCUUCUGGACCAUUCCUGACGCUCAGACGCGAAAGCUAGGGGAGCGAACGGGAUUAGAUACCCCGGUAGUCC
rnacentral:rRNA from 1 species